rnacentral:rRNA from 1 species
UACGAAGGGGGGCUAGCGUUGCUCGGAAUGACUGGGCGUAAAGGGCGCGUAGGCGGUUUGUACAGUCAGGUGUGAAAUUCCCCGGCUCAACCGGGGGCCUGCGUCGGAUACUGCUUGGCUUGAGUCCCGGAGAGGGUAGUGGAAUUCCCAGUGUAGCGGUGAAAUGCGUAGAUACUGGGAGGAACACCGGUGGCGAAGGCGGCUACCUGGACGGGUACUGACGCUGAGGCGCGAAAGCGUGGGGAGCAAACAGG